AACUGAAAAAACAAAUUAAGCAACAGAGGAAAAACAAAUCCAGAGAAAUAGCCUCUUCCGGGGAAGUCUGACCUCCCUGUCUAGAAGGUGAGGACAGUGCUGCGGCCGUGUUUCUGCUGGCUCCGGCCCGAGGCUGUCUCCCAGACAGCUGCUGUCCCACUGAAUUAGGUUCAAGCGAACACGGCCAUUGAGAUCCAAAGUAUUUCUGGCUGGUUUGGGCGUGGGUCCUUUCUCUAGAUGAAUAUUUUAAUGUGGGAAUUCAGAGGAAAGCUAUGGGGAAAGCAGUGUUGGUCAACUGACGACGCUAAAGAACCACCUUCGGUGGUUGUCACGGUGAGUUUGGCACUGAAGGCUCUUUGCUGUUCUGACCUGAAGCUCUCUGUUAGGACUUCCUGCUAUUUUUCUCACAAGCCCUCAUUUUCGCUGACAGUUCAGAUCAUGCCCUGUGCAUAUCCAGUUCCCCCGGUAGGCACGGCUCCUCCUUUCACCUCAAUGCCCCGCUUUCCGCUCGGCCCACACUGGACUCUUGCUACCUCUUGUUUUGGCUUAUGUUUAAUCUUACUUUUUUAAAGCAACAUCUUCUGAUUAUGAAAUAAUUUAUACUUUUUUUUUGCAGAGAAUGUGGAAAAUACAGAAAAGUAUAAGCAGAAGCAUAAAAAUUAUUCACAGUUGCACCCUUGGAGGGAGCUGUCCUAUAAAUCUUGGUGAAUUUGCUGCCCUUCUUUUUUCUGUGGAUCUGUCUAUUACAUGUGAUAGUUUUUAAAGCUGAUGUCAUGUUAUUGAUGUAGUUUUGCUUCUUGCUUUAUCCAUUGAAGACUAUAAUGUGAGAAAUUUCCUCGCUGGGGCUCUUCCCAAACCUGAUAUUUACUGACCACACCAAUAUUCAAUUGAAUGAGGGAGUGUCAUAAUUCAAUCACUUAUAGUUUCCAGAAACGUUGUGCUCAUUUACAUUUUCCUUAGCAGCAUAUGAGGGUGCAUGAAUCCCAUCAUCACAACGCAAUGGAAUUAGGGAGAAAUGCCAGUGAAAGAUGAAGAGAGAUGAGGCAGGACUAGCAGGAGCGCCUCAGACCCUCAUUUCUGCAGGCAAGAAAGGAAAGGAUCCUGUGGAAGGGUCUCCCACUGCUGUGUGAUUCUAAAAGCUUUGGGCAGGGGAUAGGGAGUCUCCAAACCAAAGCCUGGUGGCCAUUCUGUGACAGGCAGGAGUGGGCUGCUAUGAGGACCCUGGUCAUGUUGAAGCUUUGGCGGGGGGUCACCAAGAGGUGGAUAGCUGGAGCUGUCAGUCAACUCUGCUUCCCAGGGGCAGAUUCUCUCAAAACAGACCAGAACUAUAGCCCUUGCUCUCCCAUGCCCACCCCACUUCACCUGAUAAACAGGAAAUAUAAUUAAAACAUAUAAUUAUGAACUGUGAAAAUGGUCUAAUUUUGCUGGUUUUCAUUCUUCUGAUUAACCUUGAUGUCAAACAUUUCUCAUGAAUUUUGUUACAUACUUGUACUUCUAAGAAUUGUGUGCCUGGGUUCUCUGUUUGCCCGUGAUUGUUUUCUUUAUUGAUGUUUUAAGAGGAUUUGCGGCAUUAAGCCUGUUAACUCUUUCUCCAUUCUCUUUCAUAUUUUAACCAAUUUAUCACUUCUCUUUAUAUUUUAUGUAGGAUGUUUGGAUGUUUUAGAAUAACUCACUCUUCUGUUAAGAUCACUUUUAUUUACUUCAUGUUCAGAAAAUUCUUGCUCAUCCAGGCUCUAGUUAAAUAUAUGCCAGUAUUUUAUUCUAGAUACUUUUGGAUUCUUUUUUUUACAUUUAAUACACUGGGGUUUUAUUUCAGUGUAUGAGGGAGGGAUCAAACUUGAUUAUUUUCCCCCCUUUUAGCCACAUUUUCCAAUUUUACUUUCAGAUAAUUUAACCAUUAACCAUUUCUUCCUGGUGAUUCCUUUCUGAGAUUUAAAUUUUUAAAAUAUGUAUGAUAGAUCUCAGGACUAUCUGUUUCUACUUCAUUGGAUGAUCUACAGAAUCUUGUACCACCAGCACCACACUGUUUUAAUUAUUGUAUCAAGAAUAAUACAGUUAGAUAUCUCUUAGGGACAGUAUCUCCUUGAUAUUCUUUAAGCAGUUCUUAACUCUUCUCAUCCUUUUUUUCCCUUCCAGAUGGACUUUCAUCAAAUUCAAAGAAAAAAAAAAGAUUCCACUGGGAUUUAAUUCAGAUUGCAUUUCACCGAAAAAUUACAAGGAUUAACAACAAGGAUUAAUAGCAUUGCUGCAUUCAUUAUGGCAACCCAAGGUUAUGUCUCUCUAUUGACUAUUCUCUUUAAUUAAUCUGUGUAAAAAGUUUGCAUUUUUAAUAUAGGUCUUGGAUAUUUCUUAUUAGUGUUCUUUAUAUUUUUUUCCAAUACUCUUAAGAAUGCAUUUUUCUCCCUAUAUUUUCUGCUUGUUGUUAGAAUAGAAACAGUAUUUAUUUUGGAGAUUUUUGUAUUUUUAUCUUGUAUCUGACCCCUUCCCUAAUUUUUAUGAAUACUAAGAAUUUUACAGUCAGUACUUUUAUAUUAUCUUGGUGCAUAAUCAUAAUGUAGUCUGUAAGUAACAAACAUUUUGUUUCCUUCUUUCUAUUGUAGAGUUUGAGAAGUCGUCAGUGUGUAGUCCUGUUACCUUAAUUGUUUCUGAGUUAUGGGUUGAAUUUAUUUUGAAAUUUCAAAAAACUUCAAAGGGUAGUAUGUUAUUUUUGUGUUAAUCAAAAUGAACAAUGGGUUUCAAAAGCUUGAACAACGUCAUCUUGGGAGUGCCAAAUGAAUAGGAUGUCCUGUAUGUCAGGAGCAUGCCCACACUUUUCUUGCUAGGGUGAGUUUAUUGUCCCUGAUGAAUCCCAGGAGUACUAGUCCAUGAUGCUCUUAUUCCCUGGUGCUUUAACAUGCAGUGCAGCCGGAGUUGGCCUGAACUUUAGGAAAUGAGGUCGUAAGUCGAAAGAACAGGGAAUUGAGAAAGCACACAGAAGCAGCCAGGGCCAACAUUUUCCCCUAAACAAGCCAAUCAACAAAAAGCAAUGCCAAACAAGCCCCUUUGAAACUUUCAAAGUCCUCAUCCUAGUACCUUCCUAGCACUCUAGGAGACAUCUUUCAGCUGUUGAUUUAUGAACGCUGAGAGGCACGUGGAGGAAUUAAUGGAGGUAAAUAUCUAACUUAAAAAAUCUUCAGUAGGCAUUUUUAGACAAUCCUCCUUGAAAGAAAAGUGUGGAUGCUCUGUGCGUGUAUUGACUGCACCUGCAGGGGUAUAGCUGGAGAACACCCAGUGAGCAUCUUCAGGAGCCAAGUCACGCAGGGGCUUAGCUCUCAGUCCAUUGCGACAGUUGCCAUGAUGCCUUCUGACCAUUAAACACUUUGAACUCUUUUCUCUCAUCCUCUGUUAUUUGCUUUGGACCCAUAACAGACUCAUUAGUUAAAAAUAAGAAGCAAAGGUAAUCCUGAUGUUGAAUUACAAGUUAAUGCAGAGCACAGACAUGAAAAUAAUUCUAUGGGUUUGCUGCAGCAUAAUCCUUGCCAGAUCUCCAAGUUCCAUUCAUCUAAUGAAAAGCCUUAGUUUGAAGAACAUUUUGGAGAACUCUUACAUCAAGAGGUCUCCAGUACCUCAAAAACCAGUGUUCAAAAGGAAAAUGCACACGCGCAUUUCAGGGAGGUGGGAAUAAAAGCCUUCCUUUGCGCAGCGUGUUACAUGUGGAAAUGUGGAACGCACACGAUCAUUCUUACUGUUAAAAAACCCCACAAAGAUUAUAAAAAUAUGUCAGUUUUUUUUUGGUGCAAAAACUCACACGAUUAAAAAUAUUAUACUAUGAAAGC
rnacentral:lncRNA from 1 species